AGUGAACGCUGGCGGUAGGCCUAACACAUGCAAGUCGAACGGCAGCACAGUAAGAGCUUGCUCUUACGGGUGGCGAGUGGCGGACGGGUGAGGAAUACAUCGGAAUCUACUUUUUCGUGGGGGAUAACGUAGGGAAACUUACGCUAAUACCGCAUACGACCUACGGGUGAAAGCAGGGGAUCUUCGGACCUUGCGCGAUUGAAUGAGCCGAUGUCGGAUUAGCUAGUUGGCGGGGUAAAGGCCCACCAAGGCGACGAUCCGUAGCUGGUCUGAGAGGAUGAUCAGCCACACUGGAACUGAGACACGGUCCAGACUCCUACGGGAGGCAGCAGUGGGGAAUAUUGGACAAUGGGCGCAAGCCUGAUCCAGCCAUACCGCGUGGGUGAAGAAGGCCUUCGGGUUGAAAAGCCCUUUUGUUGGGAAAGAAAAGCAGCAGGUUAAUACCCCGCUGUUCUGACGGUACCCAAAGAAGAAGCACCGGCUAACUUCGU
rnacentral:rRNA from 1 species